AGCGGAAGUUGGCCCAUCCUAUACGUUACCGUAGUGUAAAUAUAAUCGCUCUGUAAUUAAAUUUCUUGGUGUAAAGUGAAAACGCUUCAAGGAUUCUCAACAGACAGAUUUCAUCGCUUUAUUUCUGGAAGUUUAUGUGAUUAACCGACACGUGCACAGCAUGUCCGAAGAGAAGCCUCCCGUGGCCGCGAACAUGUCCGAGCAGAAGUCUCCCGAAAGCAUUCCUGAAGAGAAGCCUGCCGCACAAAAGCAUCCUGGUCGUCCUUCAUACGUAUCAACCGUUGCCGCUGCCCGAGAAUCUGGACGGGAAGAACUGUACGAAACAUCAAAGAACUUCGUAGGUAAAGACGCUAAUGCUUGUGCUGUUUACGCAAAACUUCCCGACGAAAAGAAGCAGGAGUUACUGGCGGAGCGUCUUGGUAAUCCCCCAGGUGGGGGAUUGCAGAAGGUCGCUGAACGGGAGCCAAGAGAAAGCAAGAAACCGGCGGCAGAUAAGUGACGUUCAUCCAUGAUUGGUUGUGUUUUGCUGUUCUGAGUUACCAUUCUGUCAUAUCCGCCCAAUGGUGUGCUGAAGAACUUCUUAAACAUUCUUUUUUUUUCGGUUAACCGAAGUGAAGAAAUGUAAAAUGCGAAUUUUCGUUCUUACAUGGCAUAAAAACAUUUGCAAUGGCAAA